GCUGUGAUGGCCGAGUGGUUAAGGCGUUGGACUUGAAAUCCAAUGGGAUCGUCCCGCGCAGGUUCAAACCCUGCUCACAGCG
rnacentral:tRNA from 1 species